CCAGAGCUGGCUUUUAUACAUAGUUUGCUUACAUUAGCCAUGGUAUAUGCAAAUACAGUACAGACUAUAAGAUUUAUUACUUCCUUAUAUUACGUUAUUCUGACAAUGGAAAGAUAAGCUUUUGCAUAUGUCUGGAAAAGAAUAUCCUUAAAAUCGGAAUGGGCAAGACAUCCUGAAAUUUAGCAUUGUCUUACAUCCUAUAGAAGAAAUACCUUAGUCUGUCACAGUCAGCAUAUUUAUGUAAGUAUUCAAUAUCCCUUCAGUCAGCAAUAAUCAUGUUAUAAACCUUAUAAAAGCAUAAAAUACAUAUAAACAAGUUAACUAUUUAAUAUUCUUACAUUCCCCUCUUUGAGCAAUAAAACAAUUGCUCAUCUUAUCGAUAAAAUCUUACCAGGACAGAGAAUCUUCCACAUGGUAUUUUCAGGGGUGCUAGUCACUCCCUGCGGGACUUUCAUUAAUUUCUUCACCUCGAUUCCCAUGUGGUAAUUCCUAAGGCCCAGUUUAAAGAUGGGUUGAUACCCUCCAGUGGCAGAGAGGAGAAUUUCUAAUUGUUUCUGUUCUGCAUUAUGGAUUCAUUUCUGUACUCUCUUCCUCAAUGUACAAGUAAGGUGACAGUUAUAUAAAAUCAUACACAAUAAAAUCAGGACUAUAAUAACAAAAGGAUAGAAGAAUGAUUUCAUUAUCUGGGAUCCAGUAGGGGACCAACCAGUAAAAGCAUUGUACCAAUGAUGGGCUAAAUCAUUCUGAAUUUGUGAACUCACCUUAAGGAGUUCUCCUUUUAGGAUAUGUGUGGCUACCUGUGUGUGUACUAUAGCAUCAUUAUGUGUAACAAGAUGUUUAAACAUAUUUUGUUUUCCUUUCAUUAAGGAGACAAUAGUCUCAAGAGGUAAAUGGUAAUCUUUAAAAAGUAGAGAGCCUUAAUAGGGCAUUAAUGUUUGUCUAAAGUGAUUGUGUCGCUGAAAUAAUAUUGGGUGCCAUUAAGAUCUAACCAUUAGUCAAACAUCCUGAAAAGGGGAGAGGUAGAUUGAUACUUGUAUUACUAGUAAUUAUCUUUGUAGGGAGGUUAGUUGCCAAACAGAUAUGUCGGCUGCUUCAUGCUGGCCGUGUUUAACUUAUUCUUGAGGGUCUCCAUGUCUAUACUAUUUAGUAUACCCAUAGUGGUUCCUGCACCUCCUAACAGUGUGUCAUACCAUUCCCUUUUCUGCCUUUUGUUUGCUGUGUUACAUAAUGUUCGAACAGGAGUAGUGAUUUUUAAUGACACAUGUACAUCUUGUAAGAAGGCAGUUGUAUGAACACAUGUGGACGUAAUAGGUGUGUGUCAUUGUUGACUUUUGGUUCAAUGGUAGAGGAUAAAGGACCGUAAUAAGGUGUAAAAUAUAAGGUAGUGUACAGUUCUCAAUUGCAGUGUCGUUCAUAAUGACAUUUGUCCCCUUUUCCAAUUAAUGAUACCAGUUGUAUAAUCAUUAUUAAAAGUAAUAAGGCCUGUCUGUUUACAUUGAUAUGCAACCUUAAUUGUGCAAGUUCCUGUGAUAUAAGAUCUAACAAUUUUCCGUGAACCUUCAAACAAACAUAAUGCAUUGGUUUCAUUAGCUGUGGACACAUUCCAUAUGGGUAACUGGUACUUAUAAGGGUUAUUAUUUAUCCAGUUCAUCCAUAUGUGUUCAGUCAAUGAGUGCUUGCAUAUUACAUGCUGAUAGAUAGGUGGUGGAGAAAGGUUCUUGAGGGAGCGUGUGUGACGAAUGCUAGAUGAGGGGCUAAGGCCUAAUUGGGCUGGGGGUAUUGAAGAAUUGUUCAUCAUGUCAGAGUCUUUUUCCAGAACUUGCCAUUGACUUGUACUCAUAAUGGCAUUCAAGGAACAAUAUCAGAGGGAGUAUAACAACUCCAGAAAGCAUAGCGCACAACAUAAUCUUGGUCUCAGGUACGUAUGAUCCUCUCAAUCUACGAUAUGGUGUAAAAGCCAUGAUGCUUCGCUGAGGAGAAAUUCUUCUGUUUCCGAGCGAGGAGUGGUCUUGUCUUCCUUGGUUCCCCUCUUUGGACACAGCUUCACUCGGGAUGCGUGAAUCCAGAUGUCGUGGGAAUCUGUGAGGACAGCGGUUCUGGUUACAGCAAUCACAGUAGCAGGUGGUCCAAAAGGGUAUCCUCCUUUCUUGGUCCUGUUCAGCUGACGGAUAUACACCUUGUCACCGGACUGGUAUAAAUGAGUAGGUUCCUGUGAAGGUAAGGGAAAACUGCGAAGAAACAUUGUCAUACAUACCAUUCGGUUUUAUCAACAAUUCCUGUACAUAUUGUUCUUGUAUAAGCUGUAAAUCCCCAGACAUUAUAACAAGCGAUUCCCUGGCCCAGGGUGUGGGAAAAGGUCAUCCCAUCAAAAUCUCAAAUGGAGAUAAUUUAGUCACCUUGUGGGGAUUCAUUCUUAUCUCAGCUAAAAUAGCUGGUAGAUAUCUAGUCCAAUUUACCCAUGUUCCUGGGUAAAUUCUGGGCUUUUCCUUAAUAGUCCUAUUCAUCCUUUCAACUACCCCUGUAUUCUGUGGAUGAUAGGGUAUAUGAAACUGCCAGGUAACUUGCAAGAAUUUAGCAAGUUCCUGGGCAACCCUACUUGCAAAAACCGGGCCAUUAUCAGAGCCAAUCUGCAGAGGGCAGCAAUACCGGGGAAUAAUUUCAGUAACAAUAAUCUUCACUAGCAUCUUCCCUAGAUGUCACAAAGGCCUCAUGCCAUCUACUAAACUGAUUAACUAUGACCAGUAAGUAUUGCUGUUUCUUACCAAUUUUGGAUACAUAAAUAAAAUCAAUCUGUAAGUGUGUAAAAAGAGCAGCGUUCACACGAUCUUACAAAAGACUGUACAUGCUGCCUGAGAUUCCUAAUAUAAAAUGAAUUCAUGAGGAAUUGAAUGGUGCUUGCUAUGUGCCUGACUGAUGAAAAUAAAGCAGCUUGCUUCAAGUAUGCCUAUUCUUCAAGUAUGCCUAUUCUCCCCUCUUUAGAGAACAGAUCAUUUUGAUCUUUCUCUAAACCUUAUUUAAUCCAAAAGACAGAUUCUGGGUAUUAAAAAAAAAAAAGAAUCUCAUAACCACUGAAGCGCUGGGCUGUCAUGUGUUGUGUGGUGAGAUUUGUCAGCUGAGUGACCUGGUGACUGGCAUGAAGUAUUGUAGGAUGCCCUAGUGUGAUAGUAGUAGCAGUUUCAACAGCCAUUGCACAUGCUAUCAAUGCUCUGAGACACGCCGGCAUACCCUGUACCGGAGCUCGAACUACUUUGGAAACGAAUGCUAUGGGACGCAUACCGCCUCCUUGCUCUUGUGCACAGACCACGGCCAUGGUUUUACAAUUGUCCCAAGCAUACAAAUGAAAUGGUUUACAAUACACAGGUAGUCCUAAAGCCUGGGCUUGCACAAUAACAACUGUAAGGGCAAUAUAUGCAGCUAGAAUGUCUGGUGACCAGCAGACAUUUUCAGGGCUGUCAGAACGUACAGCCUCCCUUAGGAUUGAGUUAUAAUGGGAGAAUUCAGGGAUCCAUUGGUGGCAGUAAUUAAUCAUGCCGAGGAAGGUGAGCAACUCCUUCCGAAUAGUGGGUGUAGGAAUCCUCUGAAUGACCUCAAUACAUUUUGGACUCAAUUGUCUGGUGCCUAAAGCCAGAACAAAACCUAAGUAUUCAACCUUUGAUUUACACAAUUGCAUUUUGUGUUUAACAACCUUGUGACCUACAGUUGCUGACAGUAUCCACAGUGCUUGCCUCAUAGCUAGGGCUACAUAACAACAAAUCAUCAACAUUUUGCAAAAAGGACGGAACCAUGACCGGUGGUCCAUGUUUUUUAGAGUAUGUUGGAGUACCAACGAAUAAACAGCUGGGGAAUCCACAUAGCCUUGGGUAAGCGUGUCCAGGUAAACUGACAGCCUUCAAAAAGUAAAAACCAUAAGUAGCUGUGUCUCUUGAUCAAUAGGUAUAGAAAAAAAUGCAUUACUUAAAUCAAUGACAGUGAAGUAAGUGGCAUCAUGUGGAAUGGCUGUAAUGAGGGAUGUCACAUCAGGGACAAUGGGUGAAAUGGGCACAAUUAAACUAUUCAGGGCUCUAAAGUCCUGAACUAAGCGAUAUGCUGGCCAGUGGUGUUGGGAGUGGGUCUGGUGUUGUUCUUGCCUACAGGGCAUAUUUUGAGAAAGGUGGGGUUGUUGGGGUGUGUGGGGUUUCCUGGGGUGUGGACACUCAUUCCUCCAGUGGCCAUAUUGGCCACAGUUGAAACAAGUGUUCCUGUCUAUUCCUCCUUGGUUACCCCUGCCCCUAUAACCCUGAUUUUCCUGUCUCCAUCCCCUUGCCCCUCUUUGACCACCCCUUCCACGGGCUUUAUGUGCUCCAUCCCAUCCUUGCUCUCAUCCUGUGUAGCUGGACAUAAUAUGUUGCAAUCCCUGAGCAUAAUAAGCAACCUUACUUUCCUAAAUCUUUUCUUAAUUCAAAACAACCUGCAUUUUCCUUUUCUAUAACCUUGGUAAGAAAAUCUGAGCUAUCCAAAUUGGCCCAGUCUGAAAUCAAUUGUUUCACAAGCAAAGAAUACUGUGGCAACAUAUUACCAAGGCAUGACUGUAUUUUAAAGAUAUCUAUAUCAUCUCCAGACAUCAAACCUGCCUCAUCCUUCCAACACUUGUAAAAUUUAUUUACAAAAAUCAUAUUACCAAUCUCUUCCUUUGCAUCUUGCUUAUAUGCCAAAGCAGUGAAUAUAGACUACCUAUUCUUCCAUAAUCCCAACAUUUCAGCUUCCACCUUGUUCCAAAUUUUAGCACAUCUUACUGAAGUACUAAACUCAUAAUCACCAAUUCAUUUCAAACCAUAUAACUCAUACUCAGCAUCCAAUGUAAUAUUACACGUCAUCUCACAAAGCAAUAUCUUUGUAGAAACACAUAAUGGGUACCCAGCAGAUAUGCCAAUACAGAAAUCACAUUUAUGGGCACACAACUACACACUCUGUCUCCCUCCUAGGAAACACAGAUAGACACAAUAUAAAAGCAAUCUUAAACUAACACCUCCAAAUCUCCAACUAUUCUUGGCCAAAACGCUAGUAUUCAACAACUAAUAAAACAGUUAUUUGCUAGGUUAUUUGGCUGUCAUUCUUAUCAGUAUCACUAGACUGUGACAAACUGAUUCACAUAUAAUUUAAAACAAUACAGCAACAUAAAUUAAACCACUUUCAAGUUAAACUGCACACUUAUCACACAUUAUCACAAUCACCAUUUACACAAAAUAAAGAGUUAACAGCUGUAUUCAGAACAUAUUAUUGGAAAGUAUACCAAUUUUAGUUUAGAUUUAUUUUAGGGAUUCUUAUGUGUACAUUUUCUUAAUUAACUUCAUUACUUUAAUCUACUAUAGUAUUAUAUAUAAAGAAAGGAUCCAUUUAUAUAGCGCACUCAUAACUCAACUAUUUGUAUGAAACUUCCAUUAACUAAUCUGAGUUGAUGCUGCAUCAACUUAAAUCUUAUAGAAAUUGAACAAACAUCUGGACCAGAUUAAACAGACAUGGUUUCACCUGAAUCUUUCAGAACUCUCAGAGACUUAAAAAUUUAUACUGUACCAUGUUUUAAAGGCAUGGCAAACCUUUAGACCGGUCAGUCUCCAAGAGCCCUUAGUAACACAGGUAAAAACCUUUUGUCCAUGAUGUCUGAUUCAGGCUAUAUACCACAAUUUAAAAUAUCACAUAAUGUGAGACAUAGAAGACACAAGCAGUAGUUAUUACACUGGAUCAUUUAAAAGGAAUCUGUUGCAAUAAAAAGGUUAGUUUACAGCGCAAAAUAAAGCAUGUGUUGGACCGCUGAAAAUGUAAAUGUUGCUCUGUUAUUUUCAAACAAAAAUUAUAUUUACAGUAUGGAUCCUUUGCAACAAACACACAGGGCAGGGAAGAUGUGCUGAUUGGUGUUUCUAUACAAUUAAUCCCAUAUGGGGAAUUAACUUUCAAAUACUAAUGAAGUGACUUUUUGUCUCAGUUAUAAAAUAUACUGAGCUCAUCAUGCAAACAAUGCAACACAUUUACACUAUCCCACUCUCAUAAUAAGUGUAGUGGGCUUAUAGUAUUUUUAAAGCAACAAUCAUUCCAGGCACACAGUUCCCAUGUGAAAUAACUUACAAUAAAACAGAGUAAUAAACUUAUACUUCUAUGCGACAGAAAGAAUAAAGUAAAAAGAUUUAAGUAGGUCUAUCAGGUACAACCUAUGAGUCAUUUCUUUUCUAAUAUACAGUACUGCUAUCUUGCAGAAAGAUAAGUCCUGCGCUCACUCCCAUCACUACUGGACAGCAGCAAGGACUACAGUACACAUCAGCCCCAAUAUAUGGUAAAAACCAAAGAAAAACAAGUUACCUGCGUUCUCUCCUUAAUCCCUAUGUAUUUUUAAAACCUCCAUUUGUUUAAAAGUACUGCUAUCUUAUAUAUACACAUAUACAUAUACACACACAUAUAUACAUAUACACACACAUAUAUACAUGUACAUAUAUUGGUCACUCAGGACAUGAACUCACAUUUCCCAUACUGCUGAUUCAGAGUGGGGACACUACUAACUUACCAAAGUGUGUCCCCAAUAUAGACAAUCAAUCACCCACAAAAAACACUUAAGACAAACAAAGGUGACCGGGAGAAAGAGAAGUUUGGGUUAUACUUAUAGAUCUACAAACCGUGCUACUCAGAACACCUAUAGACUUAAUAAACCGGAGACUCUUAUGGUCUCAAAAACCUGUAUCUACCUGAGAUACCCUGUAUCUAUCUUAGAUACUAACCUGGGUUACCAAAACCCUAUAAUAAACCGGAGACCUCUUAUGGUCUCAAAAACCUGUAUCUAUCUUAGAUACUAACCUGGGUUACCAAGAACCCCUAUAUAUAUUUAGACCAAAUGUCUAAUAAACCGGAGACCUCUUAUAGUCUCAAUAUAACUAGAGUCCUUACACCUUUCCUAUCUACUGGAUACAGUCUUACUGAACCAAAGGGGGUCAUAGACAAUCAGCGUCAAAUAAGACACAAAAAGGCUACUCACCGCAAAUGGUUUUGCUGAUCCAACUUCUAUCCCACUUCUAGACACCAAGCUGAAAGGGUUAAUGUUGUAAUGGACUCUAAUCCCCUCGGUUCUCGAUCCCUCGGUCACCAUAAUCAACGUUGAUGGAGAAUCAUUUGUAAGCAAUAACACACGGACAACAGCUUUACAAGACUCUCAAAUGAGUGUAUUCCAGAGCUGGCUUUUAUACAUAGUUUGCUUACAUUAGCCAUGGUAUAUGCAAAUACAGUACAGACUAUAAGAUUUAUUACUUCCUUAUAUUACGUUAUUCUGACAAUGGAAAGAUAAGCUUUUGCAUACGUCUGGAAAAGAAUAUCCUUAAAAUCGGAAUGGGCAAGACAUCCUGAAAUUUAGCAUUGUCUUACAUCCUAUAGAAGAAAUACCUUAGUCUGUCACAGUCAGCAUAUUAUGUAAGUAUUCAAUAUCCCUUCAGUCAGCAAUAAUCAUGUUAUAAACCUUAUGAAAG
rnacentral:lncRNA from 1 species